UCCGAAUUAGUUUAGUGGCCAUGACGGUGCCUUGUCAGUACGUCCUCCGCGUUUCCCAAGACGGCGCAGACCCGGGUUCGAUUCCCGGAUUCGGAG
rnacentral:tRNA from 2 species